GAACCAGUACCGUGAGGGAAAGGUGAAAAGUACCCUGAAUAAGGGGGUGAAAUAGAACCUGAAACCGCACGCCUACAAGCGGUCGGAGCAACUUUGUGUUGUGACGGCGUGCCUUUUGCAUAAUGAGCCUACGAGUUACUCUUCCCUAGCGAGGUUAAGGCACUCAGUGCUGCAGCCGGAGCGAAAGCGAGUCUGAAUAGGGCGCAUAGUUAGUGGAGGUAGACGCGAAACCCGGUGAUCUACCCAUGACCAGGAUGAAGUUCAGGUAACACUGAAUGGAGGUCCGAACCAGUUGACGUUGAAAAGUCUUUGGAUGAGUUGUGGGUAGGGGUGAAAGGCCAAUCAAACCGGGAAAUAGCUCGUACUCCCCGAAAUGCUUUUAGGAGCAGCGUGGAGGUUAAGUCUAACGGAGGUAGAGCUACCAAUAGGACUAGGGGGAGUCAAAUCCUACCAAAUCCUGAUGAACUCCGAAUGCCGUAAUAUAUACUCUGCAGUGAGGGCUAGGGUGCUAAGGUCCUAGUCCGAGAGGGAAAGAACCCAGAUCUGCAGCUAAGGUCCCAAAGUAUAUGCUAAGUUGAACUAAGGCGGUUCAGUUGCUGAGACAGCAAGGAGGUUAGCUUGGAAGCAGCUAUUCCUUUAAAGAGUGCGUAACAGCUCACUGGUCGAGCGACAGGGCAUCGAUAAUAAUCGGGCAUCAAACAUAUCACCGAAGCUUAGAAUUGUAAUUUAUUACACUGGUAGGGGAGCAUUCUAUUCUGCGUUGAAUGGAUAUCGUGAGGUAUCCUGGAGCGUAUAGAAAAGCAAAUGUAGGCAUAAGUAACGAUAAAGCGGGCGAGAAACCCGCUCACCGAUAGACUAAGGUUUCCACGGCAAUGCUAAUCAGCCGUGGGUUAGUCAGGACCUAAGGCGAACCCGAAAGGGGUAGUCGAUGGACAACAGGUCAAUAUUCCUGUACUAGCAAUAAUUGCGAUGGGGUGACGGAGUAGUGAAAGCGCUGCGUGCUGACGGAAUAGCACGUUGAAGGGUGUAGGUAUUGGACCGGUAGGUAAAUCCGCCGGACUAGCUGAACCUGAUAGUACCUUGAUCCUUCGGGAGACGGGAUAAUGCGCCUAAACAGACUUCCAAGAAAAACCUCUAAACUUAUGGAUAUGGCACCCGUACCGUAAACCGACACAGGUAGUCAAGGAGAGAAUCCUGAGGUGCUCGAGUGAUUCAUGGCUAAGGAACUAGGCAAAAUGGCCCUGUAACUUCGGGAGAAGGGGCCCCUGA
rnacentral:rRNA from 1 species